GUCGAAAUGCAGCUGAGCAGAAACUGCGGGGUGACCACGUUCAUCAGUCUCUUACAAACGUGAUCUUUAACUGGAUGAAACAUCAGGGGCAGCUGUGGUUAAGUGGCAAUAGCACGGGAUGAAAAUUCAGAAAACCUGAUUCAAGCCCUAACUCUCCCACUUACUAGCUGUUUGAUCUUGGUCAAGUCCUCGUUUACCUCAUUUAGGAUCAUGCAGCUGCUGUUGAUGAGACUGAUGACGGCAGCCCACGUUUAUUGAGCCCCUCCUCCAUGCCAGGCACUGCUGCGGGCUUGACAGACUGUACCUCGUCUGCUCCUCCAAAGAGCCCGAUAAGAUACAGUGUAGCCCAGUGGUUUGCUGAUUUUCCAAGGACUUAACACAAGCCUAUGCAGAAUCAUCUUGGCCCUGAGGAUGGAGGUCUACUCCCAAGUGCUGAGUGAAGAUCCAUGGAAAAGACAUGGGAAUCCAUUUUGUUCAUGACCCUGAGUUUAUCAACCUCAAGUAUGAGUCCAAGACUGAGACUUAGCCAAUCAGAGAGAAAGUACUCCACUCUCUCAUCUCUCACCUCAUCCUGGAUUCAUUCAGGAAUGGGCAUGUGACUCAAACCAA